rnacentral:ncRNA from 1 species
UAAAAAUUUAUGAUUUUAUAAAUUUAUUUAUAAUUUAUUUUACAUGUAAAUUUUAGUAUGAAUUUUAUAUUAUUUUAAUAAUAAUAAUUUAUUUUACAGUAAUUAAUAUUAAAAAUUUAAGAAAUUAAGAUUUAGUAAUAUUAAAAUUAUUAACAAAUUUUGUGCCAGCAGUUGCGGUUAUACAAAAAUUAAAAUAAAUUUUUUUUAGUUAUAAUAAAUAUAAUAAUGAAUUUUAAAUUAAAUAUUAAAUUAUUAAGUGAAAUUUUAAUUUAAUAAAAUUUUAUUUUUAAAAUAUGAAUUAAUAAAUUUAUAAAGAGACUAGGAUUAGAUACCCUAUUAUUAAAAAUUUAAAUUUAAAUACUAAAAUAGUAAAUAAUUAUUAUUGAAACUUAAAUAAUUUGGCGGUAUUUUAGUUCAUUUAGAGGAAUCUGUUUAAUAAUUGAUAAUCCACGAAUAAAUUUACUUAAUUUAAUAUUUUGUAUAUCGUUGUUAAAAAAAUAUUUUUAAAUAAAAAUAAUAUUUAAAAAUUAAAAUUAAAAAUUAGUUCAGAUCAAGAUGCAGAUAAUAAUUAAGAAUAUAAUGGAUUACAAUAAAUAUAUUUAGAUGAAUUUUUUUUUGUAAAAAAUAAUUGAAAGUGGAUUUAAAUGUAAUUUUAUUUAAUUUAAUAAAAUGAUUAAAAAUUGAAAUAUGUACAUAUUGCCCGUCACUUUCAUUUAAAAAUUGGAAUAAGUCGUAACAAAGUAGAGGUACUGGAAAGUGUUUCUAGAAAGAC